AUUGAACGCUGGCGGCGUGCCUAACACAUGCAAGUCGAGCGGUAACAGGUGUAGCAAUACAUGCUGACGAGCGGCGAACGGGUGAGUAAUGCUUCGGAAUCUGCCCAUGUAGUGGGGAAUAACCAGCCGAAAGGUUGGCUAAUACCGCAUACGACCUACGGGUGAAAGCAGGGGAUCGCAAGACCUUGCGCUAUUGGAUGAGCCGAAGUCGGAUUAGCNGUUGGUAGGGUAACGGCCUACCAAGGCGACGAUCCGUAGCUGGUCUGAGAGGACGACCAGCCACACUGGGACUGAGACACGGCCCAGACUCCUACGGGAGGCAGCAGUGGGGAAUAUUGGACAAUGGGGCAACCCUGAUCCAGCGACGCCGCGUGCGUGAAGAAGGCCUGCGGGUU
rnacentral:rRNA from 1 species